UACUCCCUACAGUCACAGCAUUCGAUAAGCACCUGCGACUCGCCAGCAUAGAAAAUGGCCGAAUCAUCCAAAAAGGGCUUCUCAAAAUCCUUCUCAUACAAUGAAGGUUCCAGAUCCAAUCCAAGUCUGAGAACAGGCGACUUAUGAGACUCGGAAACGUAUGUAGUGUCCAUGGGAGCCAGAAGAUCUCGAAUCACCGUCAAUGCCUUGUGCCUCGUCAAGGUGGUCACCAGACCGGAGUACAGCUUUUCUCCAAAUCUAUGGAGCGCCAUAUUGUAAGCAUUCCUGGGUCCAUUACAAAAGCACAAAUCAGGAUCACAGCAAUAGUAAAAUUAAUAGAGUACGAAAAAGGGCAGCUUCAAAAGCGAUGAAGCAGAAGCAGCAGCAGCAGCAGCACCUGUGGAGCACUUCAAAGCUGAGGCCGUCGUAGUUAUUGUUCAAGAUGUUGCGAAUACCGUGCUCGAGCAUCUUCCAUGUCUUAUCGGCGUAGCCGGGGUCGAGGAUCACCGGGUUCUUGAAUGGCUCGAUGCUGAAGUUACUCUUCCUCGGGUGGUCGCUCAUCGGGUCCGGAUGCGGCUUCCGGUCGGAGGGAGGUGGGCGGGGGGAGGGCGAUGAGGCCCUAUGAAGAGCGAGGGAUUUGGUUGAGAGGGAAGGAGGAGGGCUUUUGUUCGAAGGCGUCGACGGAGGGAAAUAGAGGGAGCG